rnacentral:rRNA from 1 species
GACGAACGCUGGCGGCGUGCUUAACACAUGCAAGUCGAACGAAGUGGCGAACGGGUGAGUAACGCGUAAUCAACCUGCCCUUCAGAGGGGGACAACAGUUGGAAACGACUGCUAAUACCGCAUACUGAAGGAGGGGAUUGCGUCGGAUUGGCUAGUUGGAGGGGUAACGGCCAACCAAGGCGAUGAUCAGUAGCCGGUCUGGGAGGAUGAACGGCCAACUUGGGACUUGGAAACGGCCCAGACUCCUACGGGAGGCAGCAGUGGGGAAUUUUCCGAAAUGGACGAAAGUCUGACGGAGCAACGCCGCGUGAGUGAUGACGGCCUUCGGGUUGUAAAGCUCUGUUAAUCGGGACGCGGUACCGGAAUAGAAAGCCACGGCUAACUACGUGCCAGCAGCCGCGGUAAUUC